rnacentral:siRNA from 1 species
GGUGAGGGACGACGAUUUG